AUGCACUGCAAAAAUGACAUUUGCAUAGACUUAAAGGACGCCCAUAUUUUUAAUGCUUGCUUCAACAAAGAAUUAAAGCGUGUGAUAACUGCAGAAAGUAUUAAGUAUGGGUUUGACAUUCUUCAAGGCAUCCAAAAUGAGAACAAGAGCAUUAAAAAGUCACCGAAGGUAAUUAAUGCAAUUUCCACCAUAUUUUGUGGAAUUUGCGAUACUUUCAUCUAG